UACGGCCAUAUCACGUUGAAACACCGGUUCCGAUACGAUCACCGAAGUUAAGCAACGUUGAGCCUGGUCAGUACAUUGGUGGGUAAACUU